rnacentral:lncRNA from 1 species
UAUCCUCCUUCUCAAGUUAUACCUAUUCUAACCCAAAAAAAUACCCCGCACACCCAAAAAAGGCAAAGGCAAGUCAUGUGAUCGUGAUGACCUGGUGUCCAUUGUUGGUCCAAGCUUCAAAAAAAAAAUUUGAUAGAAGCGUUGAAAGGUAAAGGACUUUCAAAGAAGCACAAACAGUCAUUGUGCUUGGUUUAGUUUGUACAUAAUAUUCUUUGGGCGAG